AGGGAAUUUUGCGCAAUGGGCGAAAGCCUGACGCAGCGACGCCGCGUGAGGGAAGACGGCCUUCGGGUUGUAAACCUCUGUCCAUGGGGAAGAUGGUGACGGUACCCGUGGAGGAAGCCCCGGCUAACUACGUGCCAGCAGCCGCGGUAAUACGUAGGGGGCGAGCGUUGUCCGGAAUUAUUGGGCGUAAAGGGUGCGUAGGCGGCAUGCAAAGUCACCUGUGAAAAACCUCGGCUUAACCGGGGGCUUGCAGGUGAAACUAGUAUGCUUGAGUGCAGGAGAGGAGAACGGAAUUCCUGGUGUAGCGGUGAAAUGCGUAGAUAUCAGGAGGAACACCAGUGGCGAAGGCGGUUCUCUGGACUGUAACUGACGCUGAGGCACGAAAGCUGGGGGAGCAAAC
rnacentral:rRNA from 1 species